CGGCGUCGUCCGACGUCUCCUUCAGCAUGGACGACCCGCCCGAGGCGUACACCAACGCGGGCGUCUACGACAAUGUCACUGCCUACGCGCAGGCGGCAAGGCAGGUCCAUGGCCCGGACUACGAUCCAUCCACCGAUGACAUUGAUGGAGACCUUGUCAUGAGGAUAGGAGGCGGCAAGAAGCAUGGGCGCUACUGGAUUGGCAACAGCGUCAUCGACAGGUCGACUACUCCCACCCUCUCCCAGAUCGAGCAUCGACCACGAGCGUGAGCAACCGCCCACCCAUACGCCCACGGCCGGAGCCGGCACAGCACCGGGUCGACGCACUCCAGGCUGAGCUCGAAGCAUCAAGGGCCGAGCAGCAGAGGAUGGCCGAGCGGUUGGAGGCUCAAGAGCGUCAGCGAGAGGCCGACCAGCUUGACCAUCAGCAGCAGAUGACAGAAAUGAUAGCGUUCCUGCAGUCGGUUGGGGCCCAGACGGGUGUAGCCCUGCCAGCUACGCUAAUGGCUCCACGUCAACCCCCGCAUGUAUUUACUACUCCUAUUAAUACUCCUCCUCCUUCGGCGGGUUCGAACGUGGCACCUGUCAUUUCUCCAACACCUGGGAUCUCGCCGACACCUCCAGAUGGUGGCUCUCCUGCGGUACGCGGCCUAGGUGUCCCUGAUAUCAAUUGGGGGCCUUCACAGUGAUGCACUUAUUUUGUUUAAACAUGUGAACUUUGUGGAUUGUCUAUUGAACAUGUUGGACUUAGUUUGGAUGUAUGUGAACUGAGUUUGGAGUAUUUGGACUUGUUAUGAUGGACAAAGUGAUGGAAAUGAUAAUUUAUGUGGAUUAUGUGGUAUAUAUUGUUAUCGAUGUCGAAUAUGUGAGCUAUAGGCUCUUUGAU